AACCGAGGCAACCGAUCACACCCCCUCGACGCAUUCGCCCCCGAAGUAAGUGGCAAUCUUGAGAGCGGUCGGUAGGCACAGCGUGGUCGGUCGGCACAGCGUGGUCGCGCAGCUGAAAAUUUGCUUCACGUCUGACUCCAACGGGUAUCCCAAAAACUUAUCCUCCCUUGACGGUCCUAAAAUCAGCAGAGUGGUCAACAGAAGGUGAAUAUGGUUCCCGGAUGAUUCAGAUUAGCAUCUUUUGUGGCAGAGGAUCUAUCCACUAUCGGCAACUAAAUGACUACAAGAUCUUAAGAUUGGCUUUAUUAUAUAAGGUAUAUCAAUCGCGUCGCGUACAAACCGUGAUUAGGAGUAACCCAAAGAUGGAAAGAAUGUAAGGGCAAGGAACAAACACUGGAUAGGACUUUGGCGAAUAGAGCUCUCUUCCGGAUAUCUCCAGGCAUCCUUCGUAGCUAUCCUUACUUCCCAUCCGCGCACGACAUGACUGGACAGACUGGACAACUUGAGACCCGUAGCGGCGCAACGACGAUUUUUGACCCCAAAGGAGGAAGUCCGUGCAUCUUUAUAAAAUAGGGAGGGAUGUGAAAAAAUAGCGCUUCGGUCUAGUUAAACUGUAUGCACUGCUGCCUUGUAAUGUGUGUGUGUGUGUGUGUGUCGACCUCACUUGCCACAUACAGCAUUGUGCCACACCGCAGCAGAGAAGCCGACCCUGACCAAGGAACAACGAGAGAAGAACACAAUGACAAUGUGCAACCUGUUUGUGGUGGUGGAUAUUGUAGUGAUGGGUAUGCGUAAAGGAGAUUAGAAGUAGACAAUAGCACCAUAAAAUAGCGCGGUAGUGUGGUGGCGGAUAUGCAGAUUAGAAGCAGACAAACCCUGAUAAAAAACAACGUUGGGACAGACGGGUGAAGGGUAGACCGAGGUCAGACCGAGAUAAACGAGGAAGGCGUGGGUUGACAACAAGCGAUAAUGUAUGCGAGAACGGCUGCUGGAGGCGUAUAAAAGGGCUAACCUCCAAGCCAGCGUCACUCUCGCUCCAGUCCGGCCUACUGUGCAGUGCUCCGACUCGACUGAACGCUCCACCAGCAACCCAACAAUAGCGCAAGACUACGGCCUACGGAUGGAGCCACCAACAAACACUCCCCCGAUGCCAAGGCUCAGCUUUACCCGCCCCAAACAACCGAAGAGCUCGGUACAUAAUCGAGCGACCAAUAAGCGCUCUACACUUUGGUGAUUUUGCCAUUUUGGUUUGGCACUGUUUCGACAUUCUGUUUCGAUUACUUUUGGCACUGUUUUGGCAACUUGUUCGGCACUGUUACGGCCCAUUCCGUUCCGAAUACUUGUUCGGCACUGUCUUGACACUGUUUCGGUCAUUCUGUUUUCGGUAACCUUGUGCUUCGGCAUAUUGUUCGGUUAUGUGUUUUUUAGCACCCUAUUUCGGCCACUUUUAUUUACUACCACGGUAACAUAUACCGGGUAUUCUCAGCCUGAGUCCGCCUUUUUCGGCAACGUUUACUUUUUAGCUUCUAAGGACUCCAGGCAAUUGUUAAAUUAUUGACGUUUACCCUUUUCGGCCUGUUCGAAUAUAUUUUAGCCCACUG
rnacentral:lncRNA from 1 species